rnacentral:rRNA from 1 species
CAAUAGCGUAUAUUUAAGUUGUUGCAGUUAAAAAGCUCGUAGUUGGAUUUCGGUUAAGAGCGACCGGUCCGCCGUUUGGUGUGCACUGGUUGGUUUUAACUUCCUGUAGAGGACGUGCUCUGGGUUUAACGACCUGGACUCGGAGUCUACGUGGUUACUUUGAAAAAAUUAGAGUGUUCAAAGCGGGCUUACGCUUGAAUAUUUCAGCAUGGAAUAACACUAUAGGACUCCUGUCCUAUUUCGUUGGUCUCGGGACGGGAGUAAUGAUUAAGAGGAACAGUUGGGGGCAUUCGUAUUUCAUCGUCAGAGGUGAAAUUCUUGGAUUUAUGAAAGACGAACUUCUGCGAAAGCAUUUGCCAAGGAUGUUUUCAUUAA